rnacentral:misc_RNA from 1 species
GAUGAAGAACGUAGCGAAAUGCGAUAAGUAAUGUGAAUUGCAGAAUUCAGUGAAUCAUCGAGUCUUUGAACGCACAUUGCGCCCCCUGGUAUUCCGGGGGGCAUGCCUGUCCGAGCGUCAUUGCUGCCCUCAAGCACGGCUUGUGUGUUGGGCCGUCGUCCCCCUCCUAGGGGACGGGCCCGAAAGGCAGCGGCGGCACCGCGUCCGGUCCUCGAGCGUAUGGGGCUUCGUCACCCGCUCUUGUAGGCCCGGCCGGCGCUUGCCGACACAUCAAUCUUUUUUCCAGGUUGACCUCGGAUCAGGUAGGGAUACCCGCUGAACUUAAGCAUAUCAAUAAGCGGAGGA